rnacentral:rRNA from 1 species
UACAGAGGUCCCAAGCGUUGUUCGGAUUCAUUGGGCGUAAAGGGUGCGUAGGCGGCGCGGUAAGUCGGGUGUGAAAUCUCGGGGCUUAACUCCGAAACUGCAUUCGAUACUGCCGUGCUUGAGGACUGGAGAGGAGACUGGAAUUUACGGUGUAGCGGUGAAAUGCGUAGAUAUCGUAAGGAAGACCAGUGGCGAAGGCGGUUCUCUGGGCCUGACCUGACGCUGAGGAGCGAAAGCGUGGGGAGCGAACAGG